rnacentral:lncRNA from 1 species
CCCCCACACUUAAAUGAAACAUUGUCCCCAAUGUUUCAAAGAAAACAAAAGAAAUACAAAAAAGAAAAGGAAACUAAAGUCAAUGCUGCCUUCCGCCUCUUGUUCUUGGACCUGGUGAUCGUUAAAAUGAAACAUUGUCCCCAAUGUUUCAAAGAAAACAAAAGAAAUACAAAAAAGAAAAGGAAACUAAAGUCAAUGCUGCCUUCCGCCUCUUG